rnacentral:rRNA from 1 species
UACGUAGGGUGCAAGCGUUGUCCGGAAUUAUUGGGCGUAAAGAGCGUGUAGGCGGCCAGGUAGGUCAGCUGUGAAAACUCGAGGCUCAACUUCGAGCUGUCGGUGGAAACUAUCUGGCUAGAGUCCGGAAGAGGAGAAUGGAAUUCCUGGUGUAGCGGUGAAAUGCGCAGAUAUCAGGAAGAACACCCGUGGCGAAGGCGGUUCUCUGGGACGGUACUGACGCUGAGACGCGAAAGCGUGGGGAGCGAACAGG